AUUACACAUGACAGCGCGUAGAGGACAUGAAACUGAAAAUGCUGACACCAAGACACGGACCUUAAACAUAACACAGAGAGUACACAGAGAGAACAUGACGGAAAGAGGAAAACACAGAACAUGAGGAGUAUGAACAAAGCACAAUAACUCACACCACUAUAUACACGGUCACACAGAGGGAGACAAAGGGGGAUAAAGACAUGAGGGGAAAUCUAGUAAAUUAACCUGAACAACUUAGGACCCAUAGAAUAACAAAUUAACAAAUGACACAGGAACACAGGAAAACUAAGAACGCUAGGUAAAAUGACCCAGGAUCCUGGCAAUUUUGCUAUCUUGUUUACUUUUUCCCCCUGUCUGAAUCCGGAAUGACUACAUCCCGUACAGAACAGGUGUAAAAAGUAUUUUUGAUUUGUUGUAGUAAAAUGAAGAAUGGAAACUCACUAACAAAUUUCUAAACUAAUCAUUUAUGCGAAGUGAAAAUUGGUGUGAAUUUGAGAGAAAAAGAUUCAAAAGACAAAUUCAAAUUCAAAUUUUAUUUGUCACGUACACAGUCAUACACAGUACGAUAUGCAGUGAAAUGCUUGGACAACUGCUCGUGACCUAAAGAAAACAAAAAAAGGAAAAGGCUAUGCAUAAGAUAGGAAAUAAAUAUGAAAAAUUAAAAAGGGAAAUAAAUAUGAAAAAUUAAAAAGGGUAAAUUUUACUAGGAAGGAAUAAAAUAUAAAUUAAGAUUAAAAAGGAAAUAACUGUACAACACAAAUUAGAAUGAAGGGUAAAUUUAACUGGGAAGGAAUAAGAUAAAAUAUAUAAAUUAAAGUUGAAAACAAAAUACACAAUAUAGAACUAUAUAAGAAUGUAUGAAGAAAUAUAAAUAAAUAUAUACACAAUAACAGCAGCUGUACAAGUAUUAACUGGAAAUGAAGAAUAUAAUGUCCAGUGUUGUGCAAUCCACAUCAUGUCUUCUGCAGUGCAAAUAUGCUUAAAUCCAGGCAAUUCUUUUUGACUUUAAAGCUGAAAUGAUAAAAUCAGUGUCUAAUGUUAAAGCAACAGAGCUCCAAUGAAGCUCAAGUACAAUAAAAUGUGAUGCAGUCUUAAAUCAUGCAUUAUAAAGUUCUCUGCAGAGCAAUUUAUUGCUGUAAGUAGACUUUAGAGAUGCAUAGGGGGCAAUUUUUUCCACUUCACUAAAAAGCCAGGAAGUAGCACGGUCACGGUUUAAUGUGGCUCCUUUAAAAAUACAGCAUCACUCUUCCUAUGAAUUUGCUCUGAUUAUCUACACAUCAAAGAAGAUGCUUAUUUAUUGUAUUGUAUGCUGUUUUGUUU
ensembl:lncRNA